CGAAGGUGUCUUCCUUCGCUAUUUAGUAGGUGUCUUCCUUCGCUGUUGGUCUACUAAAAUAGAAUGGAAAAGGACUCUGAACUACAGCGAAAGUGUCUUCGAAGGUCCUGAAGGGCCUGGGAAAUGCAGGGCUGGUGACAGAAACCCUUCCAAAUUCAGCUUGGAUCAGAGAACUAGAGGAAGCAAGGAUGCACAAAAAAAUUUCCCAGAAAAGCCAUACCUGUCAGGAUCACUGGUCUCUGUGACAGCAAAGAAAGGGCCUUUGCAAGGUUUAAAGCCCAAAAGAAGACCCUGGAGUCUCCUACCAUCCAUGAAACUGCCCGUAAAUUGCUGGUCCAGGAAAAACUAUGUCACCAAACAAUAAGUAUUCAAGAAAGACUAUAGCGCAGCAUCAAUACAAAGAUUUUAUAAGAAACAAUUCGAUAAAGCUGGAAAAAUGGAUAAAUGCAUGAAAACAUUCACAAGAAGGAUGAUGUCACAGAACUAGCGAAUGCUGAUCAUAUCAUAUAUCCACCACAAGGUAAAGUUUUUAGUGAAAUGAUCACCUCUGUAUAGGAAAAUCACAAAACACACAUGUAGGAACUCAUGUGUUAGUAAGUUUUUUCUUUGGCAUUUUGGCUGAACUAACUUUGGACUGAAAAUGUAUUUCUUAUUCAGAGAACAUAAAAAUAUUCUUGUAUUUAACAUUUUUUUCAUCUGAGUCCAUUUUUUGCUUUUCAUUCAUCUGAAAGUUUCUAUGUAAUAUGACUCGAAGUAGGAAUAUAACAAUAUUUUAUAUUUAUUAGUUGUCUCAGUAUCAUUGAAUAAACCUUCCUUUCCCUACUUAUUAAAGAUUCUGCUUUAAUCAUAUUCUUAAGUCUUAUACAUGUGAAUACAUAAUAUAUGUAUAUAUAGACACCUACGUGUAUAUUAAUUGCUUGCUGGGUACUGUCUUCAGUUUUAUUAGUUUUCUUAUUUUGUAACUCAUUUAGAACCAAUUUACAAAGAUGAAUCAAAAAUACAUUUAUUCUAUUAUCUAUAAAGAUGUCAACAUAUUUCAAAAUACAUAAGACCAUACAAGUUCCAGUUGAAUAAUACAGUUAUGUUUUGCCAAGGUAAUUUUAUUUGCCUUUAUUAGGCAAAACUUACAUUAUCAAGUAGCAUUUUAAAUAAAGCAAAUAGCAUAUAUCUUAGUAAGAUUAUCUUUUUUCAAUAAAAGUAUUAAAUGUAUUUACUUUCCUGGAUGUUGUCUACAUAGCCUACAUAGCAUGGCUCUUUACAAGAAAAAUUAGUCAGAGCUACAUAGUCAAAUUGUAAUGGUAAUGCCUUAAUGGAUGAGUGAAAAAGCUAU